UUAGGCAGUGGUAUAAUAUGUAACUGGAAAAGAAAACCCCUCCUGUUAUAUUUUCCCUUAUACGUUACUAGCACAUGCAGUGCACGUUAAGAACAAUAGUCUUUUGUUCUGUUCUGUUUAUAAAAAGAAGAAAAAGCAUCCAGAACAAUGGGUGAGAAGAAACAAAAACCUGUCGCCUAAAUCAAGGGAUUGGUAUUCUCCAAAUCAUUGCUACCGCAUUGAGCCAUUUUCUCUGAUUCAGGCUGCCCCUGCUGAAUUUUAGAGAGCGUCAAAACUUAUUGGUUAAAGGGAUGCCUUUAUGAGUAAAACAUGAGAAAUAUUCACUUACUAGGUAAGCAAUUUGUAAGGACUGGAAGUAGAAAUUAAGCAACCAAGACAAGAAGGCUGUCCUAUCAGUUUCAAGAACAACUAAGAGGAUGUUAAAGGACAGCAGAGGGAGCCCCUGCAUGACUUAAGAAAACCGAAGGCAGGCAGAACAGAGACUUUUCAGGGUGCGAAGUUACGCAUGGUGCCCUCUACUGGAGUCACUGGUAAAGAGUUUUGAUUUCAAAAAGAAAUUGACGUAGAAUUUGUUCUUGUUCCAUUGUAUUGGUGAAGAAACUGAAGUUCAAAGUAAUUGGCAGAACAUACUACUUUGGGCAGUAUGGGAGUAGAGGCCUAUGGACGACCAGCAACAGAUUCUUAACAUUUGAGUCCAUUGAUAUAUUCGAAGCUCUACCCUUCUGGAAAAUAUCAUAAGAUUUGAAAAAUAUAGCUGCAAAGAGCAAAAGAAGAUUUGCGUCUCAAUAGAAAAGAUCUACAGAUUGAAUAUUGCAUAGAAAACAAUUUAUUCACCUUACAAAGAUAAAAGGAUGAAAACGCCCUGAGCAGUAAUAAAACUUCGCCAUUUUGGGGAGGGCCUCAAGAGGCUAUCUUAUCAAUCUUGGUCGUUGGAAAAGUAUCUGUAAUCUCAAAGAAAACUUUAAAUACUGUCCAAGGAAAAUAUCCAAAUACAUCUUAAAAUGCCA
rnacentral:lncRNA from 1 species